AAAUAAACCACUUCAUUGCUUGAUAUGAAAGUGGAUAUGGUUGAUAGUUUUCACAAUAUAUGGAUGAUUGCUUAUAUAAUGAAGUUCAUUCAUAUCCCAAUAUUAAUGAGAGAAGGGGAAGAUGCUGAUUUUUAUGUUGAAGAUUGUCGAAGAGAGAAAUAAACCACUUCAGUGCUUGAUAUGAAGGUGGAUAUGGUUGAUUGUUUUCACAACAUAUGGAUGAUUGUUUAUUGAUUUCAUGUAUAUCCCAAAGUUAAUGGGAGAAGGGAAAGAUGCUGAUUUUUAUGUUGAAGAUGGCUAAAGAGUGUUGCCUAUAUGAGAGUGAUUUCUCAUAAUGAAGAGUGAAGAUGAAAGUGUCAAUCUCUUACACUUGGGAAGCAACAGACAGUCUCAUAUUUCAAAGCCUUAAAAUGCAUUACUAAAACAUGGAAAGUAAAAAAGGGAAUGUAUGAAUUAAGAGGAUGGUUGAUUGAUAAAGGAAUGGUGGAUUCAAAAUUCUCUAUCAUUGCUAUCAUGGGUGAUUGUUGAAGCUUUAGUUCAAACCCAAACAUGAGAUAAUAACACUCAUGGCUUCUAAAUCUUCCUCAAGUGUAUUUGUUUUCUAAACAUUAAUAGAUGACUUCAUGUCUUUACAGUUACAAUUCUAGUUUACCAUUUUUUUUUUCCA